rnacentral:misc_RNA from 1 species
AAGUCGUAACAAGGUCUCCGUUGGUGAACCAGCGGAGGGAUCAUUACAGAGUCGUAAAACGCUCCCAACCCAUGUGAACUUACCAUUGCUGCCUCGGCGGACCUACCCGGUAGCUAGCUACCCUGUAGACCGCCGGUGGACCAUUAAACUCUGUUAUUCUAUGGAUAUCUGAGCGUCUUAUUUAAUAAGUUAAAA